rnacentral:rRNA from 1 species
UACGAAGGGGGCUAGCGUUGCUCGGAAUGACUGGGCGUAAAGGGCGCGUAGGCGGUUCAUACAGUCAGAUGUGAAAUUCCCGGGCUUAACCUGGGGGCUGCAUUUGAUACGUGUGGGCUUGAGUGAGGAAGAGGGUUGUGGAAUUCCCAGUGUAGAGGUGAAAUUCGUAGAUAUUGGGAAGAACACCGAUGGCGAAGGCGCAAGCAUCGUCC